GACGAACGCUGGCGGCGUGCUUAACACAUGCAAGUCGAACGGAAAGGCCCUGCUUUUGUGGGGUGCUCGAGUGGCGAACGGGUGAGUAACACGUGAGUAACCUGCCCUUGACUUUGGGAUAACUUCAGGAAACUGGGGCUAAUACCGGAUAGGAGCUCCUGCUGCAUGGUGGGGGUUGGAAAGUUUCGGCGGUUGGGGAUGGACUCGCGGCUUAUCAGCUUGUUGGUGGGGUAGUGGCUUACCAAGGCUUUGACGGGUAGCCGGCCUGAGAGGGUGACCGGCCACAUUGGGACUGAGGUACGGCCCAGACUCCUACGGGAGGCAGCAGUGGGGAGUAUUGCACAGUGGGCGGAAGCGUGAUGCAGCAACGCCGCGUGCGGGAUGACGGCCUUCGGGUUGUAAACCGCUUUCGCCUGUGACGAAGCGUGAGUGACGGUAAUGGGUAAAGAAGCACCGGCUAACUACGUG
rnacentral:rRNA from 1 species